rnacentral:rRNA from 1 species
CCUACGGGAGGCAGCAGUGAGGAAUAUUGGUCAAUGGACGAGAGUCUGAACCAGCCAAGUAGCGUGAAGGAUGACUGCCCUAUGGGUUGUAAACUUCUUUUAUAUGGGAAUAAAACAGGGUAUGCAUACCCUCUUGUAUGUACCAUAUGAAUAAGGAUCGGCUAACUCCGUGCCAGCAGCCGCGGUAAUACGGAGGAUCCGAGCGUUAGCCGGAUUUAUUGGGUUUAACGGGAGCGGAGGUGGAUGGUUAAGUCAGUUGUGAAAGUUUGCGGCUCAACCGUAAAAUUGCAGUUGAAACUGGCAGUCUGGAGUACAGUAGAGGUGGGUGGAAUUCGUGGUGUAGCGGUGAAAUGCGUAGAUAUCACGAAGAACUCCGAUUGCGAAGGCAGCUCACUGGACUGCAACUGACACUGAUGCUCGAAAGUGUGGGUAUCAAACAGGAUUAGAUACCCCUGUAGUC